CACCUCCCUAUUCCCCUAUCGAAGACCAGUCGCUGACCUGAAACAAAGUCCUGCCUGUGUCGUGCUGAGAAAUCCGGCAAUCUGACUAAGAGGCUCGUGGUAAGGCGGCUGUGUAUCAGCUACUUCAUUAUUCAUAAGCCUGCUUGUCACA
rnacentral:lncRNA from 1 species